UGCCAGCCGCCGCGGUAAUACGGAGAGUGCGAGCGUUGUUCGGAAUUAUUGGGCGUAAAGGGCGUCUAGGUGGCCCGGCAAGUCAGAUGUGAAAUCCCUCGGCUCAACCGAGGACGUGCAUUUGAAACUGCUGGGCUUGAGUAUCGGAGGGGGCAGCGGAAUUCCCGGUGUAGAGGUGAAAUUCGUAGAUAUCGGGAGGAACACCAGUGGCGAAGGCGGCUGCCUGGCCGGAUACUGACACUGAAGCGCGAAAGCGUGGGGAGCAAACAGGAUUAGAUA
rnacentral:rRNA from 1 species